ACGGUACAGAGUCAAUGUGGAGGCUAUAUACAGGGUAUUACGGUACAGAGUCAAUGUGGAGGCUAUAUACAGGGGGGUACCGGUACAGAGUCAGUGUGGAGGCUAUAUACAGGGGGGUACCGGUACAGAGUCAAUGUGGAGGCUAUAUACAGGGUAUUACGGUACAGAGUCAAUGUGGAGGCUAUAUACAGGGGGUACCGGUACAGAGUCAAUGUGGAGGCUAUAUACAGGAGGUACCGGUACAGAGUCAAUGUGGAGGCUAUAUACAGGGGGUACCGGUACAGUGUCAAUGUGGAGGCUAUAUACAGGGUAUUACGGUACAGAGUCAAUGUGGAGGCUAUAUACAGGGGGUACCGGUACAGAGUCAAUGUGGAGGCUAUAUACAGGGGGGUACCGGUACAGAGUCAAUGUGGAGGCUAUAUACAGGGGUACACGGUACAGAGUCAAUGUGGAGGCUAUAUACAGGGGGUACCGGUACAGAGUCAAUGUGGAGGCUAUAUACAGGGUUACGGUACAGAGUCAAUGUGGAGGCUAUAUACAGGAGGUACCGGUACAGAGUCAAUGUGGAGGCUAUAUACAGGGGGUACCGGUACAGAGUCAAUGUGGAGGCUAUAUACAGGGGGUACCGGUACAGAGUCAAUGUGGAGGCUAUAUACAGGGGGUACCGGUACAGAGUCAAUGUGGAGGCUAUAUACAGGAG
rnacentral:lncRNA from 1 species